rnacentral:rRNA from 1 species
GUGGGGAAUAUUGGACAAUGGGGGGAACCCUGAUCCAGCCAUGCCGCGUGUGUGAAGAAGGCCUUUUGGUUGUAAAGCACUUUAAGCGAGGAGGAGGCUACCGAGAUUAAUACUCUUGGAUAGUGGACGUUACUCGCAGAAUAAGCACCGGCUAACUCUGUGCCAGCAGCCGCGGUAAUACAGAGGGUGCGAGCGUUAAUCGGAUUUACUGGGCGUAAAGCGUGCGUAGGCGGCUUUUUAAGUCGGAUGUGAAAUCCCCGAGCUUAACUUGGGAAUUGCAUUCGAUACUGGGAAGCUAGAGUAUGGGAGAGGAUGGUAGAAUUCCAGGUGUAGCGGUGAAAUGCGUAGAGAUCUGGAGGAAUACCGAUGGCGAAGGCAGCCAUCUGGCCUAAUACUGACGCUGAGGUACGAAAGCAUGGGGAGCAAACAGGAUUAGAAACCCUAGUAGUCC